GACUAGUGGAGUUUUUAGCCUUUUAACAUUCAAGGAUUAGUGGGAGCCGGGGGAGAGCUGGAACCGCGUCUCUGCUGCUCACCUUUGUGUCCUUAGCUCCUUCGCAUGGGGUCCGACCGCAACACGUGCGCUGGAUAAACGCUUGUUAACUGGAGCUCCCUCUUUGCCCACUAGCAGGGCAUUAGCUGGUGCUGAAGACAGUGGCUGCUUGGCGAGCCUGGAUCUCCAAGUGACCCCCUCAGCAACUCCUGAUGAACAGGACUGAAGCCAAUAUUAAAGCAAGUCAACCAAAGGUUCUCUGGUGUAGACAAGACAGCAAAAGGACAGACUACCUUGUGGAACCUAGCAUUGUUCUCCUUCUGCAGCACUAAGUAACAUUUGUUCUCCGUUAAGAUCUUUGCAAACCACACACAAGAAUUGCUGGUCAUCCUGCCAAUAGAUGCUGCUCACAGAACCAAAUUUCCUGUGCUGAAUUGUCACUCAUGGGCUUGAGAGUAGGAGACUGGAGACCAAGGUGGCUAGAAUCCAGUUGGGCCUGAUGUCUCCCUGUUGAAAGGGCUCCUUGUGGAAUGAAUAGCACAUGGCUCCUGUGGUGGAUCUGAUAGUGGCAUAGCACCAAGUGAUGCAGGCCUGCCAGGGGCCACAGACACAGAAGAUGCUCCCGGGGUCCCCCAUGUACUCCAGACACACUGCAGGCCACCUCUCCCAGCAGGUUGCCAGUCAUGGGCCCCAUCAUCAUGACUUCUGUCCAAGGUACUGUGUGCAGAAAUGUGAUUGAGAUUCAAGUCAGGGCCUCUCUGCCCUUUUCCCUCCAGAAACAAAACCAAGAUAAUUUAUCCUGAACACGGUGAAAAAAGGAAGGGAGGGAGGAGAAAAAGUCCGGGUCUCACCUGGGAUUCUCUGUCUCCUGCAACAUGAAGGAUUUAGCCUGGGAGGAGGUGGUGAGAACUCUGGGAGAGAAAAAAGAAGGAAAGAAUAGUUUUACCCAUGCUGAAGUUAAUUUAAACCUUCACCUAGAGAAGCAAAAAAAAAAAACCCACACUUUCCCAUUUUGUGCCUCCCUUCCUAGAGUUUUAGCCAAAGGUUUAGCUAAGUAAUUGGUUUUACCAGCGCACUCACUCCUCCUAUCCCAAGUCUGUUUGACUCCCUCCCCAUCAUCCUCCUCACCUCUUUUCAGGCAGGGUGGGGAUAGCAGCAGGAGGAGAUUUUGGGAGCCUGGCAACUCCUGCAAGGACCGCAGGACAGCCCCUCUGUGGGGAUGCGUGGUGCCCCAUCUGCCGCCCUUCUGAAGAAUGCACUGCCUUCACUUUUUACUGUGUUAGAGUCCAUCCAGACUGUUCUAUCCAAAAAAGUUUCUUUUUCCCCCACAGGCAAUCAGGAAAUGAUUCCUUUCCCGACUGCUUCUGUCUAGUGCCUGGGAAUCUUGAGUCAAUCCCUCAGUAAGUCAGUGACUAGGGAAAUCCCUCUCUGAGCCUCCCAGUUCAUGUUGCUUAGGGAACCUGAUAUUUUCGUGAAACCUGCCUACACAUGGGCAGCCCAACAGCAGAACAAAUGGUGGUGACCAAAGUGAACAAAGAAGUAUAGUUGUGCCAGCUUCGUAGUUGCCCAUGUGGACAAGUCAGCAGGAUCAGGACACGAGGAAGAGUAAAUGUGAGACAGUCAAUGUGACUUCUGCGAUAAACAGAUUUUUAAACCCCGAAAUUUUGCAAAAUUUUGGUGAAACCUGAACUUUCUUCGUUGCAUAUACUGGCACUAUCUGUACCAUCAUACAACUGUCUCACAUUAAAGCUAUUUUUCUUGGGCACUGAUGAGUAAGGUUGGUAUAAGUUCCUCAGAUCAACAAAAACCCAUUUUCCUGUAAGUCUUACAUUUAGUAUUUAAGGAACUAAAACUUAAAUACAUUUUGUGAAAUGGUUGACACUUCACUGAUAAUGAUUUAUUGCUUGGAUUAAUAAAUUUUCCAAAAGUUGUCUUAUGUAGAAUAUGGUUUGCAACCAGCAGAACCAUUAAUCUAUACUGCAAUGAUAUGCACUAUGUAUAAUUGUUUAAAAGCCUCUACUUAAUGAUGUAAAAUGCUCUAUUUAAUUACACAUUUGGGUAAACUGUAUACUAACAUCUGAUGGCAUUUUUCCACUGUUUGUUGCUUUUUUCAAAUACUUUAUUGUACAAAGCUGUUCUUAAUAUUUUUCAAGUUUUUUUCUUUGAAUUUUGCUAAUGUUUUCCUUGAAUUAUGAGCACUGACAGAAUGUGCUUAGCACUUUUGGCUAUUCACACAGCUUUUGAGCAUGAUUUGCAUCCAAUAUUUACAUUGCUAGCAAUAAUAAGCCAUCUGUGAGUUUUGUCAAAAGUUAUUGGGGAUUUUUUAAAUUUUAGAAAUGCAAAUUAUUGUUUCUUUGAACUAACUCUUAUGCAGUUGCAAAGGCAUUUCCAGUUGUUAUAGUUUGUGUACAAUAUCAGGUGUUCCAGAUUAUGAUUCAUUAUUAAUAUCAUUGCUUCCUUGUUCCCUCUGAGGUCCAGAAGAUUCAUGUUUACAAUAUUUAGAAACAAUGUUAAAAAGGUAUCCAAAGUUUGUCACUUUAUUAUUAGUUUGUUCUUAAUAUUCUGUUUAAGUUUUUGAAUUCAUAGAUAUCAAAACGCUGCACAAUUAUGAUUUCCACAGGAAUAACAACACACUAACAAUAAGAACCAAAAACAGCAAAUAGGCUGCCUACAAGUUUUGACAAUAUUAGGAUAAUGAUAAUGACAGUUUUUCUAAAUCUCACAGUAAAGAAUGCAGCAACCCAGCAACACUGCUACCUGUGGCCUCAGGCUGCAGUGUCAGCUCUUCCCUGGGUCUCCAGCCUGCCAGUCUAACCUGAAAAUUAUGUACUUGCCAGCCCCCACAGUCACGUGAGUGAACUGGCCCAGGCUGGUCACCAGGGUCAGUUUCUCUGUGUGUCAUUAAUUCAUUCAGUCUUCAGCAGUCUCUUUGGAGCUGAGAUGUACCUACCAUCUGCCUUUUGGGUGCUUAGGGUGGAGAACCAGAAAAGUAUAACCUAGUGUGUAUCCUCAAAGAGCUAACAAUAUGGGGUGGUACCUAUAGGUCUGGAAACACUUUACUGACUCUGUGAGGCAUACCAGGAGACGUCAGAGAACAGUCCCUCCUCAAAUGCCAAAUGAGAUGCAGAAGAAAUAGUUUGCUCAAGUUCAUGGGCCAGAUAUCCCAGUGGUCAGGGAGUUUCAUGAAUGAGAUGGAACUUUGCAUGGAACCCGAGGGAUGUGUAUGAUUUGAGUAGAUGAAGAAAAUGAGACUUUCCAAGCAGCUAGAAGUUAGGGAGCAGCAAGAUGUGUGGUGGGAUUGAGCACAGUUGGUUCAGAGGAUAGACUGCAGUUUUAAUAAUUUGUAGUAAAUAUCUCCCAACUGUUUGGCACUAUUGGAGCAAGUUCUUGAAUGCCAAAUGAAGGCAUAAAUCAGUAAGAGGCAUAAUAAAAGGCUGAGCAGUGCUUGGCUUUUUACGAACUGAUCCUGAUAGGAGCAGCUGUUCAACAAAGUUGCCAGGUCACCGUUACAUAGUCCCUGCCUUCUAGGGGCUCACUGCCUACUGGGAGAGACAGUCUGAAAGUUGGUGGAGCAUGUAACUGUUGGAUGAGGAGUUUGAGCCUGUGGACUGUGGGACCCCCGAGGAGGGUGUGGCUACUCUAGGCAGAACAAUCCCACAGUUUAUUUAUAUUUAACCUUGAAAUUCAUUAGAGGAUUUUUCAGCAGAGGUUUGGUACUUGUUAAUGUUAAGGUUUGCAUUCUCUAGAACCUCAAGGAAAGCUGUACCGUGCAUAAUGUACCCUCUUAUGUUAAUGUUGUGUACUGUGAUCCUGUUUCAGGGACUUGCACUUAGGAAUCUGUUACAGUGAGCACAGAAGCAGACCUGUGGGCUCAUAGUCUUCACCCCCCACCCAUAUAUACAAGAUGAACAGAGUGGAGGUUAAACAACUUGACUAAACAACACAGUUCAUGGUAAAGCCCAAGACUGUACCUGCCCAUCCACUGCCUUUUCCAUGUAUCCUGGAACUGAGCAUAGACCUCUUCCCAGGCAGAGCUGACAGCAAGUAAAGGAGAUCAUAAUCAGGGGACCAAACAACUUUGUCUAAAGUGUGAAUGUCACCUAAGGAGAAGCUGUGAGAUCAGAAGGGUGGGGCAGAGGAGCAGACACCAUGAGGGAGAGUCCUUGGGGGUACAUCUGCCAGACUGACACUGUCUGGCCUGGGCAGUGGAGGGGCUAGCAGGAACCACAGGUACUGGUGGUGUGGCUACUACCGUUACAACUGCCUGUGCUUGGACAUGGACCCUCUGCAAUAUGCGGCAGUUUCAUUCAUUGCCCCCUACAUUCUACACCAAGUAGAAAUGGAAGGCAAUUGGAUACUUCACAGACAAGAUCUAAGUGGAGAAGGAAUGCGUCCUGUGGCUGCAGAGAUCCUUGGAGCUUGGAGGGGAGAGCUUGAGCCCCACUGAUGAUGACCUCCCACAGCUCGCCAACUCAGCCCUCCCUAAGUCCCCAUCGGGGGCCAAUUCUCACUCUGGGGUUGGGGGGACUCCACCAUAGCUCAUCCAUCAUAGGGAUGUUGGUAUCUACUGUGGGUUGGGUAGGGCCGAUGUGCUGAGGAUGGCUCCCCCACAAGCAAGAGAUGUGGAUUUGGGGAGCUUCCCAUCUUGUGUUGAAGGAACAUAACUCAGAAUAAUAAGAGCCAACUAUAACAAACCCACAGCCAACAUCAUACUGAAUGGGCAAAAGCUGCAGGCAUUCCCCUUGAAAAGUGGCACAGGAUAAGGAAGCCCUUUCUCACCACUCCUAUUCAAUAUAGUGUUGAAAGUCCUGAUCACAGCAGUCAGGCAACAGAAAUAAUAAAGGGCAUCCAAAUAGGAAGAGAGGAAGUCAAACUAUCCUUGUUUGCAGACAGUAUGAUUCUAUAUCUAGAAAACCCCAUAGCCUCAGCCCAAAAGGUCCUUCAUCUGAUAAUUUCAGCAAAGUUUCAGGAGACAAAAUCAGUGUACAAAAAUCACUAACAUUCCUAUACACAGUCGCCAAGCCAAGAGCCAAAUCAGGAGCACAAUCCCAUUCAUAAUUGCCACAAAAAAGAAUAAAAUACCCAGGAAUGCAGCUAACCAAGGAAGUAAAGGAUCUCUACAAUGAGAAUCACAAACGCUGCUCAAAGAAAUCAGAGAUGACACAAACAAAUGGAAAAACUUUCCAUGCUCAUGGCUAGGAAGAAUCAAUAUCAUUAAAGUGGCCAUACUACCCAAAGCAAUUUAUAGAUUCAAUGCUAUUCCUAUCAAACUAUCAAUUACAUUUUUCACAGAACUAGAAAAAACUUAAAAUUCAUAUGGAACCAAAAAGCCUGAGUAGUCAAGGCAAUCCUAAACAAAAAGAACAAAGGUGGAGGCAUCACAUUACCUAACUUCAAACUACAGGGCUACCAUGACCAAAACAGCAUGGUACUGGUACAAAAGCAGACACACAGACCAGUGGGACAGAAUAGAGAGCCCAAAAAUAAGGCCACAAACCUACAGCCAUCUGAUCUUCAACAAAGUUGACAAAAACAAGCAAUGGGGAAAGGUCUCCCUAUUCAAUAAAUGGUGCUGGGAUAACUGGCUGGCCAUAUGCAGAAGAUCGUAACUGGACCCCUUUUACUAUGUACAAAAAUUAAGAUGGUUUAAAGAGUUAAAACCCAAAAUUAUAAAAAUCCUGAAGAUAACUUAGGCAAUACCAUUCUGGACAUAGGAACUGGCAAAUAUUUCAUGAUGAAGACACCAAAAGCAAUUGUAACAAAAGCAAAAAUGGACAAAUUGGAUUUAAGAGCUUUUUCAUAGCAAAAUAAACAACAGGGCAGACAAUCUACCAAAUGACAGAAAAUUUUUGCAAACUAUGCAUCUGACAAGGGGCUAAUAUCUAGCAUCUAUAAGGAAUUUAAACACAGUUACAGGAAAAAAAAAACCCACUCCAUUAAAAAAUGGGCAAAGGACAUGAACAGACACUUUUCAAAAAAGACAUACAUACAGCCAACUAGCGUGUUAAAGAAAACCUCAAUUAUCACUGAUCAUUAGAGAAAUGCAAAAUCAAAACCAUGAUGAGAUAUCAUCUGCCAGUCAGGAUGGCUACAAAAAAGUAAAAAAAUAAUAGAUGUUGGUGAGGUUAUGGAGAAAAGGAACUUAUACACUUGUUAGGAGUGUAAAUUAGUUCAAUCACUGUGGACAGCAGUGUGGUGAUUCCUCAGAGAGCUAAAAACAACUACCAUUUGACUCACCAAUCCCAUUACUGGAUAUUUACCUAAAGGAAUAUAAAUCAUUCCACCAUAAAGACACAUGCAAGUGUAUGUUCAUUGCAGCACUAUUAACAGUAACAAAGCUGGGCACAGUGGCUCACCUCACGACUGUAAUCCCAGCACUUUGGGAGGCUGAGGUAGGCGGAUCACCUGAGGUCGGCAGUUUGAGACCAGCCUGACCAACAUGGAGAGACCCCAUCUCUACUAAAAAUACAAAAUUAGCCAGGUGUGGUGGCUCAUGCCUGUAAUCCCA
rnacentral:lncRNA from 1 species